UAGUGAGUUUGAUCCUGGCUCAGAACGAACGUUGGCGGCCUGGAUUAGGCAUGUAAGUUGAGCGAACCCCAGCAAUGGGGGAGCAGCGUAAGGGGCAGUAAGGCAUAGGUACCUACCCGCGGCUCGGGCAUAGCCUGUUGAGAGACAGGGUAAUUCCCGAUGACGUCGAAAGACCAAAGCUCCGGCGGCGGCGGAGGGGGUCCUAUGUGAUAUUAGCUAGUUGGUGGGGUAACGGCCCACCAAGGCGAAGAUGUCUAGCGGGUGUGA
rnacentral:rRNA from 1 species